ACCAUAUCACAUUGAAACAUUAGUUCCCGUACGAUCAUCGAAGUUAAGUAACGUCGAGUCUGGUCAGUACCAAGAUGGGUGACCGGUUGGGAAUACCUUGUGCUGUAA